UGAGGAGUCUGGUCCUUCCUGUACUG
rnacentral:piRNA from 1 species